rnacentral:rRNA from 1 species
CCUUCGGGUUGUAAAGCACUUUCAGCGGGGAGGAAGGCGGUGAGGUUAAUAACCUUGGCGAUUGACGUUACCCGCAGAAGAAGCACCGGCUAACUCCGUGCCAGCAGCCGCGGUAAUACGGAGGGUGCAAGCGUUAAUCGGAAUUACUGGGCGUAAAGCGCACGCAGGCGGUCUGUCAAGUCGGAUGUGAAAUCCCCGGGCUCAACCUGGGAACUGCAUUCGAAACUGGCAGGCUAGAGUCUUGUAGAGGGGGGUAGA